UAGGUGAACCUGCGGAAGGAUCAUUACAGAGUUCAUGCCCUCACGGGUAGAUCUCCCACCCUUGAAUACCUUACCUUUGUUGCUUUGGCGGGCCACGUCCGCGUGUCGGCUUCGGCUGGCUGUGCCCGCCAGAGGACCCAAACUCUUUUGUUUAGUGAUGUCUGAGUACUAUAUAAUAGUUAAAACUUUCAACAACGGAUCUCUUGGUUCUGGCAUCGAUGAAGAACGCAGCGAAAUGCGAUAAGUAAUGUGAAUUGCAGAAUUCAGUGAAUCAUCGAAUCUUUGAACGCACAUUGCGCCCCUUGGUAUUCCGAGGGGCAUGCCUGUUCGAGCGUCAUUAUGACCACUCAAGCCCGGCUUGGUGUUGGGGUCCGCGGUCCCGCGGCCCUUAAAAUCAGUGGCGGCGCCAUCUGGCUCUAAGCGUAGUAAUACUCCUCGCUAUAGGGUUCCCGGUGGAUGCUUGCCAUCAACCCCCAAUCUCACGGUUGACCUCGGAUCAGGUA
rnacentral:rRNA from 1 species